rnacentral:lncRNA from 1 species
GUAUAUUUAUGUGUGUAUGUGUGUGUAUAUGUAUGAGUGUAUGUGUGUAUAUGUAUAUGAAUAUGUAUGUGUGUGAAUGUAUGUGUAUGUAUGUGUGUACACAUUUAUGCCUGUAUGUAUGUAUAUGUGUGUAUGUGUAUAUGUAUGUGCAUAUGUAUGGAUGUGAAUGCAUGUGUCUAUAUGUGUAUAUGUUUAUAUGCAUAUGUGUAUAUGUGUGAAUGUAUGGAUGUGAAUGUAUGUGUCUAUGUGUGUAUAUGUUUAUAUGCAUGUGUGUAUAUAUGUGUAUGUAUUUGUGUGUGUAUGUGUAUAUAUGUGUGUGAGUGUACAUUUAUAUAUGUGUGUACAUGUUUUUUUGUAUGUGUAUGUAUGUGUAUGAGUGUAUAUGUGUGUAUGUGUAUAUGUAUGCAUUUGUAUGUAUGUGUGUAUGUAUGUAUGUGUCUACGUGUGUAUAAGUACGUGUAUAAGUGAGUGUGUUUGUGUGUGCAUUUGUCUUUGAACAAAGGCCCUCUCUGCUUUUUUGCAACCCUACCCUAAGCAUAGUCAGUCACUUGGAUGUCCAAAUGGAUGUCCACAAAUACUGAGAAUGCAUCCAGGCUCUGCCGCUCACUGGACAACUCAACAAAGACAACUAAUUAAUCGUGGCUGAUGACCUGAACUUGAGAGAAAAGGAGCAGAUGACUUGGGCCUUGGUGAGAGGAAAAUCAGAGGACCUUGGGCUUUGGUGGGUGAGGGGCAGAGGACCUGGGGCCUUGGUGGGUGAGGGGCAGAGGAUCUGGGGCCUGGGCUGUUGGCGAACAGGACUCUGACCUUCCGUGCUGCAUACGGCUUGCCUCCAGCCUCACCUCUGAAUCUCGCUGGAAGCCCCUGGGACCUCCUAAACCUGUGUCUCCCAGGGCAUUUAGGGUUUUUUUUUUAAAUAAUUUUUUAAUAUUUAUUUUUUUAGUUGUAGUUAGACACAUUACAUUUGUUUUAUUUAUACCGUUGAGCCACAACUCCAGCCCUGGCAUUUAGUUUUCAAGACCUCCUUCCUUGGCCUUCCUUGACUCUUGGCUGAGAACAAAGGUUUCAGAGUGUUCCUGACUGUCUUUGAAAACACGUCUUCAUGGUUAGAUUUGGAUCCUGGAGCGCACAGGCCACAUCCUCAGGGCUGCUUUGUCCCCGUGGCAUGGCAUUCAGAGGCGCAUGGCUGGUGACCUUCACUGCCAUCACCAAUGUCAUUAGUGGUUAGCAGGGUCUGAGGUUCUUCCACAGUAAACAUGCUCUUUUAUUAACAUGUGGCCUGAAAUAAAAGAUGUGUGUCUGCCACCUAAGUCCAGGCUCCUCCUGGACUGUGAGCAACGGCUUCACCAGCCCUCAACAGAUCAUUCCCAGUGGAAACAGGAUUCUGUGGAAAUUUCUAUGUAAACAACUAUGUUGUUUUUAAGUAAAUAUUUGAAUUGGUCAAUCAAUAUGUACUCAGUUCUAAUCCCAAUCUUUUACAUCUGCCCCCUGAUCUGCUUCUGGCCAGAACCUUGAGUUCUGGGUGGAGUGAAAUGGGUGGGAGCAGGAUGGCCCAUUCUGGAUCCUGGAGAAGGACUCUGCUGCCGCAGCACUUUCACGAGUGGCCUUCAUCAGAGGAAGGUCCUUGCCACCCCUGCUUUCCCGAGUACUUCCUCAUUGUAAGCACCUUCUCCAGAGACGGUGGUGUUCCCUGCUGUGUUCAGCUAGUGAGUGUGGCUGGCCACUGUAGACCGACUCUGCGGUCUUGGAACGGAACUCACCUAGUACUAGUUUGAUUUCCAGUUUGUGUGUUUCUUGAUUCAAUCGCCCCUGGCCUCUGAGGGACCUGUGCUCCUGUGAUCACGAGGACUGUGGACCUGACGUCCUUUUCUCUGUGAUAAACAUCCUUGUUCAUCGUUCACAUCAGGGUCGGUGGCCUUGUGAAGUGGGCUGUGAGCUGUGCCUUGCUUCUCCACUUCAUGAGCUGUUUCCACAGAAUGCUCUACUUCUCCACGAAUGUCAUGACAUCCUUCAGGGAGUGGUCUAGGCUACAUUGUUCUCUGGGGGAAGAAUUUUGAAAACAAGAUCGAUUUCUACUUCAGUUAUCUGUUAUUGCAUAAUAAAGCCACAAAAAUCCAGUGACUUAGAGCUAGCUUGUUGGGUCCCUGCAGGGCUGCAUUCUCCUGGAGGAGGCCUUGCUCCAAGUCUGCUCGUGCUGGUGAAGCCCUGAACACUCUCUCCAAGUGACGCAGGGUGGAGGGUGUCAGGAUGCCGGGGCCCAGGAUCACACACCGUCAUCAAAAGACCAACAGGAACAAAGCAGCAGGAGGAAAAGCUCAUUUGGCUCACAGGUUUCAGUCCAGAAUCGGCCAACGCCAUCGCUCUGGGCCUGCAGUGAGGCCGGUGUCAUGGUGGAAGGGUGUGGACGAGCGGAGCUGCUCGAGACAUGACGGCCAGGAAGCAGAGAGCUCAGCUCACCAGGGACAAGAGAGAGACCCCAAAGUCGCGUCCAGGGACCCCCUCCUCCAGCCAUGCCCCACUGGCCUACAGUUACUACUCAGUUAACCCCUUCAAGUGGAUUGAUGCACUGACUAGGUUAAGGAUCUCGUGACCCCAUCACUCCACCGCUGAACAUCGUCUCACAGAGGAGGUUUGGGGGCACCUCUUCUAAACCACGACAAGUGAUAAACUACUUUCAAACCCUGCCUGCAAGUUUUGCUUCAUUUUAAGUAAAAAAUAUGGGCACUGUGGUCCAGCAACUCUGUUUUGAAUAUUUACCCACAAGAAAUGAAAAGAUACGUAAAGACAAUAAUUUGCACUUCUUAACCUUAUUUAUAAUAGUCAGAGACUGGAAAGAAUUCAGAAGAAUACCAAGGGGAAAUGGACAUCCGGGGCAUGUUCAUACUCAGGGAACCAUUCAGUCGAAGUGAAGAAACGGCUGUGAGACCUGCAAAGCCCUGGAUAGAGCUCAAGAGUAUGUUGAGCCAACACAACUCGCCAGAAAGUGUGUGUGCUCUGCACUGACAGGAAAUCUAGGCCGGGACUGUCAGGCUGCAGCUCAGGAGGCAGGCAAGGCCCCAAGAGGUGGAAAUGAGGGGUUUCAGGUAUAUUGGAGAGAUUCUGUGUUUUGUUGGAGAUGCUGGUUUUCCCCUUACCUAAUUCUCCACCUAAGACUGAUGCCUUUCAGAGUGAAUGAAUGCGGCUUCAACUGAGACCCUGUGAGCUGGGCACCCUGACCCUGGGCUUGGCGUCCUGAUCUCAAGUCUCCCCAGCUCAUAGCGCCCCCCGCUGGCUCCUCAGGGAGACCAAUGCUGUGUGAGGGUCCAGGUGACAGGGUCCAGUGGGGCACAAGUUCUCCCUCUCAAGGUGUCUGCUGCACCUUUCCAGAGCCAGACGGUCGGUCUCCACCGGCAACAGCAAUCCACAGUGCAGGGGUGUAUUCUACUGCCUGUGGAGCAGAGGGCCCGGCUUUCGAAUUGGGAGAGCCUACCUCCUGCACUAGCUGGUUGAUGUUGCAGAAGACACGUCGACACUCCAAGGUAGGAUGGAGCACGGCCUUACAGCUCUGUUAGGCACGGAGCACAACUUGCACAGCACAGCUCUGGUCCCCAGCGUCUGAAGGGCUGAGGAUCCUACAGGACAGUUUGCCAGUCCCAGACAGUAGAUGAUGUAGUAGCAGCAUUUACCAGGAGCAACAGGAGACCUGCAAAGCCAGGAGGAUGUCCCUUUGGCCACGACUCUGCAGGCUGAACAAAAGCAGAGCCAGCUGCUGAUGCAGAACCCACCAGUCCUGUUCAGUUCUCCUCUGCUUCUCAGAAUCUCCUGCUGAGGCAGGCCUCCCGGCUCUCCCAGGCUCUGCCACACACUUCCCAGUGCAUCUGGUGCUUCUGCUCAGCAUGUCUCCAGAGCGAUGGCACAGCUAAGUUUAUCAAACACACUGUUCCCAAUUGCUUGGAAUUCGUACUGCAGCAAAUUCUAACACUCACGGAGAAAGAAAGCCACGGAUUCCAAGUGAUUUUUUUAUUUUUUGGAAGAUGUUUAAAACAACAUUAGCAGAAACAAUGAUAUUAGCAACACAUGAGAAAGCAAAUUGAAGUGCUCACAGAAGACAAUGGGGUGAUUAGCCUCUCUCUGGGUGUCAGUGUGCUGGCGAAGGAACAGAGAAUGCAGCCAGAUGGACUCACUGAGAGCAAAACUGUAGGCUCAUCCAGCAAGAGUGCAGAGCCAGCACCACACAGACCUGUGCUGGGGCUCAGCCGGCUCUGUGGUGUUCAUCUGACAGCCCUCUAUGCCAAGUCCAGCCGUGUGGAUGGAGCACACGGGCACCAUUGCUGUGGGGAGGCCUGAUUCCACCGUAGGCUCCUGACUCGGCCUCCCACUGUCCCAGCUCUGCACUCCACAGGGCUCAGAGAUCUCGAUCCACUCCCUUCUCACACCUGCCAGAUUAUCUAGGUAGUCAGGAGGGAGAGAAACAAGAGGGAAGAGCUGAGAAAUAAAACCUAGGCUCACAUUAUUGAACAUAAUCUACUGAGAAGAUUUUCUCAGAAAAACAACAAUGAAAAUUUUUAUCCAUAGAAAAUAUCCAGAAAUGCAGUCAGAAUUUUCAGAUUUACAAUUUCUCCAUUUAGGGGAUGGUGUGUAGUCCUGCUCUUUCUUACUCCCCUCUCUGGGCCAUACCCUACCUUGGAGCCUCAAGACUGUGUACCUGGACUCCAGCUCGUCCACCCACCAACCUUGGGCACAACCACACCGGCACAUUGCCCAGAAUCCACUGCCCACACAUGCAGGGUCAAGGCCUGGGGUCUCACAGAGUGCCUGUCUCCUUCAGGACCCACCCUUCACUUUUCUCUCUGGUGCUGCUGACUCUUCACUCUCCCACCACCACUUCACUGUCACCAACGUUUGCUUCCCCAGCACAUGGGAAGGUUCUGGCAACCAGGAACCAAGAUUUGUUAUGAUCUUCUGAAGGCCUGGCAUAGUGUUUUCUGUAUCUUACUUGAGGAGUUAAAAAAAAAAAAUCUUAACUAUUAAUUACUACUUUGCAAACAAAGGAACAUUGUUUACCUCUUAGAUUUUCUGACUAUGCAUCUAUAAAAAUGGGAGUAUCAAUACCAACUCAGAUGACCUGCGGUGAGGACCGACUGUGACCAUAUGUGCCAAAUAUUUAGGGGGCACUUGACCCAGUGUGCUCAGAAAGUGGCAUUCUGCAGCAGGCCUGCCCUGAGUGGUGAGGUGCAAUGAGGACCUCUCCAGGUAGGCUGCACAGACCAUGCCUUCCCCCUGGCCUGUGGUUCAUGCACAGCGGCCCUCUGUGACAGCUUCUGGAUGCUGGGACAGCUCCCACCAGCAGAGGACAGUUCUACAGAGAUUCACUUUUCUCUUGCACAACUUGCAAGAGUCUAGGAUUACCCGAUGGCCCCUCUGGGAUUUACUGGGACAAUGAACUUUCCCAGAGACAUCAAAUAGCAUCUGGAUAAUUUUAGGAAAAUGUUUGAUGGGAAAAUUUGGGUUUGUUCUCGUGAAAAGCAUGUUGGGCUUCCGGGUUCUCAGAAUCGCCAUAGAAUGCCCUUCUUUUCUCCAGCUGUAUUACCCAGGGCCUGGAUGCCUUGCCAGUGUAGAUCAAUUUAUCAUGGAUGUGGACUGUGGUACAUGAAGUCCACUGUGGACGUGGACCCUGGCACACAGAGCCAAUCAUUCUGCGUCCAACUUUACUAAAGCGUGUUCAAGUCACCUACUCAGGCCUCUGGUUGUGGGAUUAUGUAGAGUGGAUUGGAGGUCCUUUUACACACUGCCUUUUGUUUUUUGUGUACACAGACAGAAAUCCCAUUCAUUUAUUGAUCUUGCCCUCAGGUCUGGCACAGCACUGGCCCCGGGUGGGUGGCCCUUGAGUGGUUGCGUUUCCGUCAUUUGAUGCAGGUCCUGCUUCCCUCCUUCACCGCUCGCCCCAUGAACUGGAGCUCAUCAAACAGUCUCCAUGGAACAACCUUGCUUCUGCUUCACCGUGGAGACCCUGGACGGGUUGUCCCUGGGGCAUGCACAGCUGUGGGGUGGGCAGUGCCCUUCUUUCAGAUCCACAGCUGCAUCUCCUCCUGGUCAGCGGGUGGCAGGUAGAGGUGAAGCCAGCUCCCUCCCCAGGCCCCUGCACGUGGCCUCCUGGCCUUACCCCUGCUUUCCCAGUGGACUCAUCUCCAGCGAUAGGGAUCAAAGACUCUUCUGCUUCUGAGUCUGACACACAGGGCAGGCUACAGGCCCAGCAGUGUGACUCCAUCCCAGAUGAAGGGAUGAAAAACCCACCAGGCUCCAGAGGUGUGUCUGGGACCAACUUGUGGCCAUUUUAGCCCUCACUCUGAUUGUGGAUAUGGCCACCAGCACGGGACAGAGCCAAGUCCAGUUUACCCAUCUCAAUGUCAAGGAAGAAGCUAGAGAGCUGUCAGCUGCACCACAUGGGGCAAGAGCUAGCCUUCUCCUAAUGCAGGGAGGUGACAGUCCUGUCUCCUCUCAUAACAAGGGCAGAGACGAGCAGUAAAAGACAGGUGUGCUCUCAGUCUUUGGCUUCACCAAGCUUCCUGGGAGAUGCAACUGCCAGAGAGGGAGGAGGCUCUGGAUCUUCAGGCUCCACCUUGCUCCCAGGCUGGAAGGCUGGGUGGAGAGUGAAGCCAGAGUCUCCUCGGGGGAAAAGCAGACAGCAUGGCUCCCACCUGCGCAGCUUUGAGGCCCGUUCCCACUCCUCCCACAUCGGUAGCGCAGCCUCUGAACAAUCACAUUUGUCCUCAGCCUUCUGGUUUGUUUCUCACAGGGAAGAUCCUCCUUUCAGAGGGUCAACAAGAGACCCCAACUUUCUUGCAAACCUUGGAUCUUUCCCUGCCUGGUUUCCUCUGGCCCUCCCCUAAGGUGCGGGGAGGGCCAGGUAGGGUUCUUCAGGACACGUAGAUGAGCUGACAGCAUGGAGCACUGGGAAGGGCUGGCUCUGGGCCUUCUCUCAGCUUCCCCGGCUCAGUGCGUGGUGUUCCUGAUGCUAGGUCCAGCGCUGCCACAGAUCCCAGGCCAACAUGGGCACGAAGGGGGCAGCUCAGCCCAUUCCUUAGUUUCACGACUCUGGGAGAAUCAGGACAAAAGGCCCCUAGGAUAACCAUGGGGUUCCCCAGUCGGGUCUCCGCCUUUCUGCAAAAACUGUGAACAUGAAGGUGCUGCGGAAGAAUAGUCUGCUGCUCAUUCAGAACUGAGAGGCAAGGCACAGGGACACAUGUGGCUGACGAGACAUUCUGGAAGCCGUCACCAUAGUUAUCACAACUGAGGCAAAGAGAAGAGCCACAGACAGAUACAUAGGUGGCUGCAAGAGUUGGGCCUAGGGCCUUUAACUCUCAGAACUUUCUUGAAUGCGUAUCCAGCACUCUCAGUCAUGCUGGGCAUUGCAACCACUCUGCUGCAGGCAGAACCAGCUCCCCACUCGCUGAGGUCAGGUGUGUUGGGACAGAGAAUGUCUGGGGACUAGUGCCUAUGCCUUUCAGAUGUGGCUUCUGAGCAGAGAUAAGGCCUUUUCCUGCUUCCCCUCUGCUCUCUGAAGUUCUUGGCAGAAAGACCCUGAAGAACAUAGAGAAUAUUAUUAGUGUCAGAAUAAUGCCAGUUUCAGCUAAGCUCUGUGGAGUCAGGAAUUCAACACAGAGGAUUGGCAAAGAGGGCAAGAAUAAAUAACUUCUGAGGUUCUCUGGGCCUUUUAAUUUAUGGCCUAUAAAGUUGCAUCCAUUAAAGGGCAAAAAUGCGGACAUGUAAACAUUGUGGACAAGCUCCACCAGGGCUUGGCCACCAACCAGGCGUGCUCCAUGGAGCAAGGGUCAGGUGUCUGGGCUCUCAGCUAACCUAUGUUUCACAAGACUUGGAAACAUGCUGCCAGGAAAGUACAGAUGCUGCCACUGGCCUGGGGUAUCAGGAUCCCAAGCGUGGACUCUGCAGGACAGUGAAUCAUCAGGGAUGCGUCCAGGGUCCUUGUCCCUCAUGUGAGAGUGAGAACGUGAGGCAGGUGAACUGGGUCCUCUGCUGCACCGUCUUCCUGCAUGAACAGCUCUGUCCUGUGGGGUCCCUGACACUGGAACCAGGAAGCUCUCAGAUUUGCUCUGAUGCCAACAAUUUGGCCAACACAUGCAAGAUUGAUUUAAACUUUUUAUCAUUUUUAAAGUUGCAGAACCAGAAGGUAAAAAAAGAAGGAAACCACCCCAAGUCCCACGGCCCUGACUCUGGGCCGGGUCGUCGUCGCUUCCCGGGCCAGCCCCACUCUCCUGGUGAUUCUCAGAUGCUCUGGGGCCCAGGCUCAGUCCUGGGAAGGCACCUCUCUGUCUUGCCCUUCCACGGUAACCUCAUCUGAUCUCAUGGCUCCAAGCACCCUCGGAAUGCUGAGGGCUCCUCAGCUCAGGACUUCAGCCCAGACACAUGGCCACCGGUCCAACGUGGCGUCAGCCUGCCCUCAGCCUUCAAGCAACUGCUGUCUCCCGCGCUGCAGCUAUGUCCCUUGGGAAUGUAGCACGAGUGGCCUCAGGCACAUGCAGCUAUUGGAGGGGCUCCUUUUCACUCAGCAAGGCUUCCUUGAGACUCCUCCAAGUUGCUGCACACACAGUUGUCCAUUUGUCUUCACACCAUGCACCUAUCAGCCACUGGGGGACACUGGCACUCUGUUCAACUCCUGGCGAUUACAAAUAGAGCCUCUAGGGACAUUCCUCUCAAUUCUCAUUUCUCUGGAAUAAACAUCCAGGAGUAUGACUGGGGGGUUGUAUGUUAAAUAUAUAUUUGUUGUUUUUUUUAAAUUCUGGUAGUAGAAAUUGAACCCAAGGAUAUUAACCACUGAGCACAUCCCCAGCCCUAUUUUUUUUUUUCACUUUAAGACAGGAUCUGGCUAUGUUGCCUAGGGCCUCACUAAGUUGCUGAGGCUGGCCUUGAAUUUGUCAUCCUCCUACCUCAGCCUCCUGAGUUGCUGGGGUUACAGGCUAUACCACCAUGCCUGGAUUGGCUUAAAUUUGAUUUUCUAAGGAACUGCUGACUUAUUUUCCAGACAGCGGUGCCAUCUGGUAGGCUCAAUAGCAACGAGUAGGAAGUCCAGCCUCUCUAUGGCCUUAUCAACAUCUGGUGUCACGUGCUCAAGCCAUAAUGAGUGUGAGCACCAUGUGGCACUGAGGACAGUGCUUGUGUCCUUGUCUAGUGGUGCUAAGGCCUUUCCUGUGUGUGCUACCACCUGCACGUUCGUCCUGAUGAAUUUUCCUCUCAUGAGUUUGCUCUUUUGCCAUUUAUGUUUUUUCUCUGUUUUAUUAUUGAAUUUUGAGACCUUUCAAAAUAUUCUAUAUAAGAGUCUUUUGUCAGAUGCAGUUAGCAAAUAGUUUGUGUGCCGUUUGUCUUUUCAUACUUUUUAUAGGGCCAUUUGCAGAACAAAAAUUAAAAAACCCAUUUAAUUGUGUUUGUUCCAACGUUUAUCAAUUGAGUUACCAAAAUUCUCUCUCUUUUUGUCCUUAAUUGGUAUCUGACAGAUCACAGUGUCAUGAAGAACAGAGACUUAGAAUGUCAGCCAACAUGAGGCGCUCCUGUCCGUGGACCCAAUCUCCCGGGUUCCCCCUUCUACUCAGUGUCGGGAACUCAUCUGUACAAAUCCACGGCAGCAAAGCCGAGAGAGGUGCAUGCUGGCAUUUUGAUGAGCUUUUGGAGACAGACUCUAACAAACAGGUGAUUUGAAGGGUGGGCACUUGAGUCUGCUGGGAGCUGCUUGGGGAAAGCCUUGCGCUGCUAACAAGCGCCAGCCAUAGGUUCUAGUCCUGGACUCACUUCUAGCUGCUCCCGUGAGCUGGAAGGAGCCACUGCUCCCUGGCCUGUGCAUCUCCAUCUGCAGUCACAUGGGCACCAGAGCACACUGGACACUCUACCAUGUCACCCGAGGCUCCUGAAGACGGGGUCUCCUCCCCUGAGAGCCAUGUGACACCCAAGAAGAGGGAUGGUGGAGGAUUAGGUCAGUUUGAGUGACCCCAAAGGCCCUCUGCAAUGGCAACAUUUUGUAUAUCUUCCUAAUGACGGCAGAAGCUGCCUUCUGACCCUGCUCACAUCAAAGUGCUACAGCAGAUUCUUCCUCCCAGGUCCACAUCAGAGGGCCACAGUGUCCACAUCACUGACGUGGCGUCCACAUUGGAGCAUCAUGCUGCCUAGGUCAGAGCGCCUUGGCAUACAUGUGCUGGCUCUGUCUUCUUCAGCCUUUCUAACCUAAGUCCACGCUGAUCAUGAGUGGAGUAGGAGAGAAGAGUAGUGCUUUCCCACAGACACAUGAGGCCCCCAGUGGAGAGAAGCAGGAAGACACGGAGAGCAGGCUGGAGAGGACAAAUCAGCCAGCAGGCUGACAUACGUCCCCCCAUGAGGAGCAGCCACAGGACUGGCUGGUGACGAACUGCAGCAGCAGCCUUGCUCCAGAGGGACUUCACACUAAAAAGAGCAUCUCACAGGCAGCUCAGCAAUCAGAUUAGAAGUCCUGUCCUCCCAACCAGGAAGCAAGGAAUGCUGUAGAUAUGUAUGGGGAGGAGAAGAAGGAUACAAGUGGUCCUCAGCUGGACAUGCACAAGCCCCGCCACUGGGAGACAGAGGCAGAGAUGCCAGGGCCUCUCUCCAGACGAUGGGUGAAGAGGGAAGAGCACCUGCAGGCCCAGGGACGCUGGAAAGCUGCAUGGCACCUGGACCAAGUGUUCUGCAAUCUCUUUGGGGAAGAAUUUGAAAGACAUGCUAUUUCCAGUACCUUUCUCCGUUUUCUGUGCCCAUUUUUUCUCAUUUUCCUGUUUACCGGCACAUAUCUUUGUGACCUUUCACUCCAUACUAAGCAUUGCCACCAACUUGAGGAUGCCAGGAUUUUUAAGAUGGUCUCUUCCCCAGGAGUGAGCAUUCUGCUCCAGCCCAGGCAGUCAGAACAACUGUAGCAGCUACAGGUGGGCAAGAGGUGACUUCAAACAAGGCACCAGAGGUGACUAGAGGCACAAAGGAGGGAUGCUCACCCUGCCUGGUGGAAUCUGCAGUUGCGAAGCUGGGGGGCUGAGCCUGAGGACCCUUUGAGGGCCAACUUGGUGGCACCUUUCUCUGGGAGGAAAAGGGCCCGCGAGGGCAGGAGGCCCAAAGUCUUGGACUCCAGCCAACCGCCAGAAGGCAAACCGUCCCCUCCGCUUCAGCGCUCCUGCUUUCCACACAUUCAUAAUCAGUCUUGUUUUAGGUUUUGGUGGUUUGUUGGGGUUUCUACUUUGCUUCUUACCAAAGGGAGUUACUUGGAGCAGCACCAGCCGUGUCUCACAGGACCUCACUGGUACACGGCCAGAAAGGAAGCAAGGUCCAGAGGGCAGCACCCACGGCCCGCGCAGCUGGGACUGGCCUCUGCCCAGCCUUGCUUUCUCUGCUUCUCCCGGGUGUUUGGCCUUUUUCAGGUCAGCCUUACACCCUCCCUGGGGUGCUAGAUCAUACUUUUAUAUCCUGUCUGAUUUUCCCAUGAAGAGUCUGUUGUUUCCCCUUUCAGAUGUGACCUGAAGGCCAUAGGCUGGCCUGGACUGAUCCCCAGAGCACCCCAGGGGACGGUGCUCCCCAGGAAGAGCCCUGGCUGGGCUGCUGGCCUGAGCCCAUCCCCACCAGGCCCUGGGCCGGGUGGGAUGCACAGGUGUCCACUGCAUGGAGAAGAGGGAGGCCUGCAGCCUUUGCAGUCUAACUCAUAAAACAUUGCUAGUUUUGAAUAUUGUUGGAGGAGAAACCCAACUAGUUUCUCAGAGCACCUCUCUCGGAAAACCUCCGCUUCAGGAAGAUUGCAUUUCAUAUGGUCUCUACAAAACGACUUAUCAGCAAAGACCCUUUUCAGAAGUUGGUUGUGGGAGGGUAAGAGACAGAUGUGAGCCUGGGUAUGUAGAUGGCUCAGAGGGCAAAGCCCCUCCCCCCUUGCAUCUGCGUCUUUCUGCAGUGACUUACUCAGGCCCCAAGACGAGGUUGAUAGCACAGAGGCCCUCAGCUGCCGGGACCUUGCUCUCUCCCCAGGGCUCCUUCUUCCUGACCUUGUAAGUCUCUCUAUUAGAGCUGUUCACCUUGAGUCACUUAACCAAGAUUCAUGGCCUUUCCUUCAGAGGAGAAUAUGAAGACGUCUACGUGGGCAUACGUAAAGUCAGCAGGAGCUUAGGUGCCAGGUUUCUGUUCUGGCGACUAAAAGGCUCAGGGGUCACUCCAGGUAAACUGUGGUAACUGGGCUGCACAAAAUAAUCACACAAGAGACACAAGUACCUUUUUCUUGUGUUCGCUGUGGCGGCUCCUCUGACCUUAGGGGUCCACAGGAAGAGAGAGAGAGACAGAGAGAGAGAGAGAGCGAGAGCACGCGCUGACCCCUUUUAUUGAGGAAAAGCUACUCAAAUGAGGCCAGGGGUCAGGUUUCAGGGGGCUGAGUAUCUUCAUGAUGUCCACUGUCAGCAGGUUGACUGACACCUGGGUAGGCCACACCCAAGGGCACAAUAAGAGAAGGGGACACACACAAGGCACUUCCAUGGAAGAUUCUAUCCUAACCAGGGCAAGGGGUUAUAUUACAGAGGAACAGGUGAGCGUAGCUCCACCCACGGGGCUGUAGGAAGCCAUGCCUAGGCAUGAAGACACAGUCACUGGAACCCUAGAAGAGUGGGGCAGUCUAGCAGCCUGGGUGCCUGACGCCACAUCGCCCAGCAGGGGAGUUAACUCAGUCAUGUGCGAGGCUGGUCUCCCACACCCAGGUGUCCACAGCUAGUAGACAAUGACAGUGGUUUGUCUCUUCAUUUGCGGAACUGAAUAUCUCAACUCCCAGUUGACGUCAGGCGCUGUAGAAAAGAUGACCCAGGACAGGCCAGACCUCUAGGAGCUGUCAG